rnacentral:rRNA from 1 species
CAGUCGCCGCGGUAAUACGGAGGGGGCUAGCGUUGUUCGGAAUUACUGGGCGUAAAGCGUACGUAGGCGGCUUUGUAAGUUAGAGGUGAAAGCCUGGUGCUCAACACCAGAACUGCCUUCAAGACUGCAUCGCUUGAACGUCGGAGAGGUGAGUGGAAUUCCGAGUGUAGAGGUGAAAUUCGUAGAUAUCCGGAAGAACACCAGUGGCGAAGGCGGCUCACUGGACGACUGUUGACGCUGAGGUACGGAAGCGUGGGGAGCAAACAGGAUUAGAUACCCCAGUAGUCCCUGUCUCUUAUAC